rnacentral:rRNA from 1 species
AUGGCUUCGGGUCCGGCCAGCCCCGCUUCGGUGUCGUCGAGGCUGCAGCCCAUCGUCUCCGGCUUGGGGCUGUCAGGCUCGUCUGGUUCUGCGGGCGCGUCCACCGGUGCUGGAGGUGCGCCGGCUCGAGCUAUCGAUGGCCCAGCUGCGGGCUCCUCCGCGCCAUGGCGCGGGCCGUCCCGCAAGGCUCUUUGGCGCAAAAGGAAAGCGUUUCGGAAGCAGGCGGCGGCGGGAGGAGCCCGGUCGCGCUCGCCGGCGUCGUCCCAGGAGAGGAGAGAGAUCCCAGCGGAUCUGUUUGGCCUUUGCUUCACAUGCUUCAGGGAGGGUCACCGCCGGGAAGACUGCAACUUUCCACCGCUGUGCAUCCGGUGUGGUCUGGAGGGUCACAUUUCCUCGGAGUGCAAGCGGCCGAGGAGUCCAAGGUCGGAAGAAGAUCUCCGGCGGGAUGCCGUUGCCAAGGUUGCGUGUGCUUCGCAGCCGCCGAUGCAGGCCGGACUCGCGAACAGGCUGUCGCGGGCGACUAGGCAGACCGCUCCGCCGGAGAGGUCCUCGCCAGUGCCGGUCGACACCGCACCUGUGGGGUUCGGGCAGGCAUCGGCUGCAGCUGUCGCUUCCGGUGCCAUCUGCGUGCUCCGUAGGACGCCGGAGAUGGAGGAUCUUGAGCAGCGUUUGAGGCUGGCGGUGGUGGCGUACGUGGGCGGCACUCGGCCCCAGUGUCGUGCCGGGAGGCGGCGGAAGGAGUGUCGACGGCCCUGCGUAUUCCCCUCCAUCGGUUCUCUGUCCACAAGUUCCAUCCCGAGGACUUCCUGGUGGUUUUCGCUUCGCCGGAGCUGCGCAAUAAGGCGUUGGCGGCGGGCACCGUUGAGUAUGGCUACUUCAAGUUGUUCAUCAAACCAUGGCUCAAGCAGGCGCAAGCGGUGUCCAGAGUGA